AUGCAGAUAGAUUGUGGAUCGCACAUGCUUAAUCUGCAUAAAGCUCUGCUUCAAGUACCCAGACAGGGAUUAGUGCAACAGCUACUCAGCUGGUCUGAAGCAACGGAUGCCUACAUACAUUACAGCUCCUUCAAACUGGGAAGUUUGUGGAUACCGGAGAGAGAUGUGAAAGAUGACCAGACAAUCUUCUCAAGCCUAGGAGCAGAUCCGCUGGUGAAGACGAUCCUGGUGAUGGCCGAGCAGUCAACAACAAGAUGGUUGAGCCAUAAGAACUCAUCUUUUAAUGUAAUCUCGUUCUGUAUUCCACCAAAAGACUCGUUCAAGAGCACAAGACAUCGUAGAUUUGGUUUCUUGGCGAGUAUUUGUAGAGCGUCUUGCUCUAGCAAUGUACCACGAAGAGUCAGCUUGGCUAUUUGUGAGACAUUGCCAAAUGAUGAUAGCAGCCUGCCGCAGAAGCUGUUAUUCAACUCAAGCUCUUUCAAGUUUGGAAGCCUGUCAACUCCAGAAAUAGAACCUUUGCUGAAAGACAAAACCAUCUUGUCGAGCUCACAUGCUGCUCCAUGCUCAAAAGUGAUAGUCAAGUCCGAGUCCUCAACAAGAAGGUACUUGAGGCAUCUAAAUUGA
rnacentral:rRNA from 1 species